CACGUAGUUAGCCGUGGCUUCCUCGAUGGGUACCGUCAUUACCUAAUACUAUUCGCAUUAGGCACGUUCGUCCCCAUCAACAGAGCUUUACGAUCCGAAGACCUUCUUCACUCACGCGGCGUUGCUCCGUCAGGCUUGCGCCCAUUGCGGAAGGUUCCCCACUGCUGCCUCCCGUAGGAGUCUGGGCCGUGUCUCAGUCCCAAUGUGGCCGUUCAUCCUCUCAGACCGGCUACUGAUCGUCGCCUAGGUGAGCCGUUACCUCACCUACCAGCUAAUCAGACGCAGACCCAUCAACAGGUAAUAGCAUAUUCAGAGGCCAUCUUUCAUGCAGGGGAGAUGCCUCCCCUGCACUUCAUUCGGUAUUAGCAUUCCUUUCGGAAUGUUGUCCCAUCCUGUCGGCAGGUUGUCUACGUGUUACUCACCCGUUUGCCACUAAGCUUAUAAAAGCAAGCUUUCAUUCGCUCCGUUCGACUUGCAU
rnacentral:rRNA from 1 species